rnacentral:rRNA from 1 species
GUGGGGAAUAUUGGACAAUGGGCGAAAGCCUGAUCCAGCAAUGCCGCGUGAGUGAUGAAGGCCCUAGGGUUGUAAAGCUCUUUUACCCGGGAUGAUAAUGACAGUACCGGGAGAAUAAGCUCCGGCUAACUCCGUGCCAGCAGCCGCGGUAAUACGGAGGGAGCUAGCGUUGUUCGGAAUUACUGGGCGUAAAGCGCGCGUAGGCGGUUUUCCAAGUCAGGGGUGAAAGCCCGGGGCUCAACCCCGGAAUAGCCCUUGAAACUGGAAGACUAGAAUCUUGGAGAGGUCAGUGGAAUUCCGAGUGUAGAGGUGAAAUUCGUAGAUAUUCGGAAGAACACCAGUGGCGAAGGCGACUGACUGGACAAGUAUUGACGCUGAGGUGCGAAAGCGUGGGGAGCAAACAGGAUUAGAAACCCGGGUAGUCC